AGAGUUUGAUCCUGGCUCAGAUUGAACGCUGGCGGCAUGCUUUACACAUGCAAGUCGAACGGCAGCACGGGCUUCGGCCUGGUGGCGAGUGGCGAACGGGUGAGUAAUGCGUCGGAACGCGCCGAGUAGUGGGGGAUAACGCAGCGAAAGCUGUGCUAAUACCGCAUACGUACUGAGGUAGAAAGUGGGGGACCUUCGGGCCUCACGCUAUUCGAGCGGCCGACGUCUGAUUAGCUAGUUGGUGGGGUAAAGGCUCACCAAGGCGACGAUCAGUAGCGGGUCUGAGAGGAUGAUCCGCCACACUGGGACUGAGACACGGCCCAGACUCCUACGGGAGGCAGCAGUGGGGAAUUUUGGACAAUGGGCGCAAGCCUGAUCCAGCCAUGCCGUGUGUCUGAAGAAGGCCUUCGGGUUGUAAAGGACUUUUGUCCGGGAGCAAAGCCUACUUGUU
rnacentral:rRNA from 1 species